rnacentral:rRNA from 1 species
GAUGAACGCUGGCGGCGUGCCUAAUACAUGCAAGUCGAGCGAAUGGAUUGAGAGCUUGCUCUUAUGAAGUUAGCGGCGGACGGGUGAGUAACACGUGGGUAACCUGCCCAUAAGACUGGGAUAACUCCGGGGAACCGGGGCUAAUACCGGAUAACAUUUUGAACCGCAUGGUUCGAAAUUGAAAGGCGGCAUCGGCUGUCACUUAUGGAUGGACCCGCGUCGCAUUAGCUAGUUGGUGAGGUAACGGCUCACCAAGGCAACGAUGCGUAGCCGACCUGAGAGGGUGAUCGGCCACACUGGGACUGGGACACGGCCCAGACUCCUACGGGAGGCAGCAGUAGGGAAUCUUCCGCAAUGGACGAAAGUCUGACGGAGCAACGCCGCGUGAGUGAUGAAGGCUUUCGGGUCGUAAAACUCUGUUGUUAGGGAAGAACAAGUGCUAGUUGAAUAAGCUGGCACCUUGACGGUACCUAACCAGAAAGCCACGGCUAACUACGUGCCAGCAGCCGCGGUAA